UGGGAAGUAUUGGGCAAUGGGCGAAAGCCUGACCCAGCCACGCCGCGUGAGUGAUGAAGGCCUUCGGGUCGUAAAGCUCUGUGGGGAGGGACGAAUAAGUCGGUAGUUAAUAACUGCCGGCCCUGACGGUACCUCCUUAGCAAGCACCGGCUAACCAUGUGCCAGCAGCCGCGGUAAUACAGAGGGUGCGAGCGUUGUCCGGAAUCACUGGGCGUAAAGGGCGCGUAGGCGGCUUGAUAAGGUUGCGGUGAAAGCCCGGGGCUCAACCCCGGGUCGGCCGUGGCAACUGUCGAGCUGGAGCACUGUAGAGGCAGGUGGAAUUCCGGGUGUAGCGGUGGAAUGCGUAGAGAUCCGGAAGAACACCGGUGGCGAAGGCGGCCUGCUGGGCAGUGGCUGACGCUGAGGCGCGACAGCGUGGGGAGCAAACA
rnacentral:rRNA from 1 species